UAAAACCUCUUCUUUUGUUUGGGGCUAAAAUAGAGAAAACCAUGCAUACGUCACCAUUUGCUUUCUUUGAGCUUGGCGCCAACAAACACUGUGAUGGAAGAAAACGAUAAUUGGUGUUUUUGCAGAGGUGGAAUCGAUGAAGAAGAAGACGACAACGCUGUUGCGUUCUUCAUGAGAGGAAGAUGAUUAAACUAUGCGGUAUUGGGAAGAGUAACAUUUUAGGUAUUUUACUAUCUAUCAAUAUCAUUCACACACUUCAAAUUUUGUUUUUUUUUCUACGGAAACAAAUUCCGAUCAAUAUUGAGUGUAGGUACGGAUUAGUUCAUUUUAUCUUAUCUAGUGACAUAAAUUUUGUGAAAUUGAUUAGAAGAAGUUAUGAAAAUUACUUAUAACAUUUUUAACAGGCUUUUUUUCAACUUAUUUUCAUAAGUUUUUUAAUGUAAAGUAUGAAAAGAUCUUAUAACAUAUGCAAAAACAAUUUAACAUGAUUUUAUCACUCAAACAAAUGGAAUACAGUUGUAUAGUUAAGGCAUUGAUUGUAUAAAAAAAUCUCUCAAUCCAAACAAAAGAAAGAAAGUGCAACUUCACGUCGUCAAGCCCCUAAAACAGCAAUAAGGAAAGAACAACUGGCCCAGUGUAAUAACAAAAAGGGCAAAAUGUUACAUCAAAAUAAAGCAAUUUUAAGGUUCAGUUAUUAACACACUUGGUAAAUAUCAGACUGUGGUGGAAGCAGCUUCUGAUUUGGGAUCAGUUUCCACGCAAACACAAUCCAUAGCCAUCCCUACAGAACCGCGUCCAAACCACUUGUAUGGACUUCCAACUGACAAUGCAUGAAACCAUACCCGCUGCAUUGCAGUCAAACAAAAUAAAGAAAUGUAAUUGCCUUCUUUCUUUGUAACUAUGAGUAUGAACCAAAUAUAAACUUUUCAUAGUAUAAUAAAUAUGAACUUACUCUGGAUUACGUUAGGAAUCUGAUAGCAACUCCAUCACACAGAUGGGAUGCCGACUGUGUUCCUUUAACGGGAUCAACAAGAUUGAAGUUUAUGGGUCCUUACUUGCAUAGUUACGCCUUAAAAUCCCUUGUCCAACACAAAGAAGUUAAAUCAAUGCAAAUGGAGAGGAUUGACUUUCCGCACCAAGAAUUCUAAGUGUCCUCAUCACAAGCUCACACUUGUUUGAAAGGAAGAACCGACAACCUUUGUCCAUUGCUCACACAUGGUUUGUUNCUAGUGUCCUGCAUCACAAGCUCCACACUUGUGUUGAAAGGAAGAACCACAACCUUUGUUCCAUUGCUCACCAUGGUGUUGUUUGGUGGGUUUCCAGUAUAAUUGAAUGGGUGCAAGGGACUGCUUGGAAAAUAAGGGGCGUAGACCCCCCUGGAUUGCCCAAAGAAGUGAGAUUGGAGAAGUGCAGUGGUUGGGAGUGUGAAAGAUACAUUGUUCACUGAUGCUGCAAACAUUGUUCCAUUGGGUCCCUGACAAGUUUGGUUUUUCUGACAGGGAUUUGUGCCGAGGCCUACCGUGAAGAAAAGGCGCUUAUCAACUUUCUGGGGAACGUUAGCUGGAAAUAAGACACUAGCUAGGCUACGGAGUUUGUUG
rnacentral:lncRNA from 1 species